CACACAUAAAUUCAACUUUAUACAUGUCACCUGUCAGUACUUAACUGUAGAAUACGCGUUAAGCCGAAUUUCAACCUACGAAUCAAUUGACAAUGCUAGACUUCAAAGUUUUAUGAAAAUGUCAUUAUAAACAUUGUUGCAGCACAGGCCACAAGGGUAGGAAGAAUUCUUCAUUUCUGCAGUCCUUCAGCCUCUUGAUGCAUAAAACUGUCUCAGAAAAGGAUGGCCAGAAGAAAUACUGGUAUCUUGGUCAGAAACUGUCCAAUACCCAUAGCAUGUUCGAGCUGUGAUUGCAUCAACACAUACUGUUUACUCUCUGGUUACUACAUUUCUUUACUAAACUAGAGACCCAACAUCAACACAAAAGACAAAAUAUCUCAAAAAACCAAAUAGGAAAAGGGAAUCAACAAAUAAAUUUUAAAACCUUACCUUUGGGAAUUACCAAAGUAAUCAAAUGUACUCCAGUUAACAAAGUAGAUGUUGGAAAGAAAUGUGACAGGAACCAAAACUCAUUCCGCACAUCCUCUGACCUCCAUUUUAUUUCAAUGAGAUAAAGUGCAGUUUUUUUAGUUCCUCACAUUAAAUUCCUUUGAAAAUUU